CCUACGGGAGGCAGCAGUGGGGAAUAUUGGACAAUGGGGGCAACCCUGAUCCAGCCAUGCCGCGUGUGUGAAGAAGGCCCUCGGGUUGUAAAGCACUUUCAGUGAGGAAGAACGCCUGGUGGUUAAUACCCAUCAGGAAAGACAUCACUCACAGAAGAAGCACCGGCUAACUCCGUGCCAGCAGCCGCGGUAAUACGGAGGGUGCGAGCGUUAAUCGGAAUUACUGGGCGUAAAGCGCGCGUAGGUGGCUUGAUAAGCCGGUUGUGAAAGCCCCGGGCUCAACCUGGGAACGGCAUCCGGAACUGUCAAGCUAGAGUGCAGGAGAGGAAGGUAGAAUUCCCGGUGUAGCGGUGAAAUGCGUAGAGUUCGGGAGGAAUACCAGUGGCGAAGGCGGCCUUCUGGACUGACACUGACACUGAGGUGCGAAAGCGUGGGUAGCAAACAGGAUUAGAUACCCCUGUAGUC
rnacentral:rRNA from 1 species